ACCGAAGUAGCUUAUCUGGGAGAGCGUUAGACUAUACAUAGAUCGAAAGGUCCCUGGUUCGAUCCCGGGAUUCGACA
rnacentral:tRNA from 1 species